ACUUCUCCCCUGGUAGGACGUCGCGACCCGUUGGGUAUCGGUCUACGAUCCGGCAUCAUAGACUGUCGCGUCUCGUGUAUACGAGCACGCGGCAGACUGUCGGUUGUUACCGGCCGAUUGCCCGGCGGUAGUUUAUCAAUUUAAUUGAGGUAAUGAGUCGCAUUAUGUGCGUCAUGGCUCGUUGGCAGGCUCGUUUGGCUCGGUUAUUACGGACUAUGCGCCGUUGCCGAGUUUAUAACGUGGCUGUUCGUCAACGAUGUCCUCUGACAGGCUCAUACGUUCGAACGGACAUACCGGUCGGCGACGCUACUGCUUCGGAU
rnacentral:rRNA from 1 species